UGCGCGGCAGGCCUGGCGCUGUCCCGCCUCUGGGUCAAGUCUGCAGCCAGCAGUUCUGUGGAUGCUACCCGCCUUCCCCAGGUGAAUCUCGUUAACCUCCAACAGCCAGGUGAGAAGAGGGUAGUGCUGUACUCAGGCCACGUGGAGACAGGCCAGUGUGCUAUGGCAAAUGCCACAAAGUCCAUGGGUCUGGCAACGAAGGGAAAAUGAAGAUGAAAACUUCUUGGAGCUCAGCUAACGGGAAAGAACUCCCCAUUUCACCUUCCUGAGCAGUGGAACCCGUGGCUCAGAAACAGCGACUGCCCAUGAAACGUCAGCUCGCAAAUACAUUCCACGGCUUAUUUGCGGAGGGAAAUAUCCUCUACCUCUUGACCUUUCAGAUAGCUAGUGAAAGCAA